AUUGAACGCUGGCGGCAGGCUUAACACAUGCAAGUCGAGCGGGGGAAGGUAGCUUGCUACCGGACCUAGCGGCGGACGGGUGAGUAAUGCUUAGGAAUCUGCCUAUUAGUGGGGGACAACAUCUCGAAAGGGAUGCUAAUACCGCAUACGUCCUACGGGAGAAAGCAGGGGAUCUUCGGACCUUGCGCUAAUAGAUGAGCCUAGGUCGGAUUAGCCAGUUGGUGGGGUAAAGGCCUACCAAGGCGACGAUCUGUAGCGGGUCUGAGAGGAUGAUCCGCCACACUGGGACUGAGACACGGCCCAGACUCCUACGGGAGGCAGCAGUGGGGAAUAUUGGACAAUGGGGGGAACCCUGAUCCAGCCAUGCCGCGUGUGUGAAGAAGGCCUUAUGGUUGUAAAGCACUUUAAGCGAGGAGGAGGCUACUCUAGUUAAUACCUAGGGAUAGUGGACGUUACUCGCAGAAUAAGCACCGGCUAACUCUGUGCCAGCCGCCGCCGUAA
rnacentral:rRNA from 1 species